rnacentral:rRNA from 1 species
CACAUGCAAGUCGAGGGGCAGCAUUCCUGUUUGCUUGCAAACUGGAGAUGGCGACCGGCGCACGGGUGAGUAACACGUAUCCAACCUGCCGAUAACUCGGGGAUAGCCUUUCGAAAGAAAGAUUAAUACCCGAUGGUAUAAUCAGACCGCAUGGUCUUGUUAUUAAAGAAUUUCGGUUAUCGAUGGGGAUGCGUUCCAUUAGGCAGUUGGUGAGGUAACGGCUCACCAAACCUUCGAUGGAUAGGGGUUCUGAGAGGAAGGUCCCCCACAUUGGAACUGAGACACGGUCCAAACUCCUACGGGAGGCAGCAGUGAGGAAUAUUGGUCAAUGGGCGCAGGCCUGAACCAGCCAAGUAGCGUGAAGGAUGACUGCCCUAUGGGUUGUAAACUUCUUUUAUAUGGGAAUAAAGUUUUCCACGUGUGGAAUUUUGUAUGUACCAUAUGAAUAAGGAUCGGCUAACUCCGUGCCAGCAGCCGCGGUAAUACGGAGGAUCCGAGCGUUAUCCGGAUUUAUUGGGUUUAAAGGGAGCGUAGGUGGACAGUUAAGUCAGUUGUGAAAGUUUGCGGCUCAACCGUAAAAUUGCAGUUGAUACUGGCUGUCUUGAGUACAGUAGAGGUGGGCGGAAUUCGUGGUGUAGCGGUGAAAUGCUUAGAUAUCACGAAGAACUCCGAUUGCGAAGGCAGCUCACUGGACUGCAACUGACACUGAUGCUCGAAAGUGUGGGUAUCAAACAGGAUUAGAUACCCUGGUAGUCCACACAGUAAACGAUGAAUACUCGCUGUUUGCGAUAUACAGUAAGCGGC